ensembl:lncRNA
CCCAUUGGACAGCGUGUUAUCCCGUAAACGAAUACCCCACUGGUAUGCAGGCUCAUUUCCCCGAAAAAACACAUCAAGCCAACAGAACCACUUCGGGGGUAUCAUUGCGAUAUUUUUGUGCCCAUUCAGAGAGGUUAGUCCAUAGGAAGAGUCCGCUUUAACCCCCGAAAAUAUACUUUCAUAAACCAUAAAAGUAGUAGGAUAUUUUUUGGCGACGGCUAACUUCUCCUAUGUGCGAAAAAAAACAAAAAAGUAGGGAUGUCAUUUUGAAAAAUAAUCAUCCACAUGCUCCUCUUUGUCUCUGCGGGGUUGUGCAUUCUGGGUAAAACGGGCUGUUGGCAUUUCAGUCCAAUGAGACCGUUUUGGGGAUAACCGGCACAACGGACAGUCACUCAAAGUGGAGGGAAGGCAGGUAGGAGAAAAUGCGUUUUUAGUGCUAAACCAUAAAUGUAAAGUUCGGGUUCAGGUCGGAUUUGUUUCCUAAAUUGAGCAUCGCCAGGAGCUUCUCCUCCCCCGAUAAAAAAAAACACAUUUCCAGUUAGUCCAUCAAAACCCCCUAACACAGCAUGAUGUGUUCCAGUGACAAAGACCGGGACAAUGAAGAAGAAGAAUGGGAGGAUUUAUGAGGAAGAGGAGAGUCACCGCGUAGAGAGAAAGAUCUCAGACAGAUUUCAAAUGUCACAAAACUAAAAAGAUUCCACUAAUGGGAAAAGCAACAAUGUUUUUGGUUUUUGUUUGGUUGAAAAUACCCUUUUGUAUUACCACCAGAUAUCCGGCGCACGGAAGAACGUCGGCGAGGAUUUUCCCGUGCUGACCCACAUUUUAAUAAACAGGAUUUCAUCCCGGGCCUCCGCCCCAUCCGCCGGUUCUGAGAUCGCGGCGGAGUAAUAAAUGUGAGUGCACAGUGAUGAACAUGGAGUACAUGUGUGGGUUUAUGCUCCGCCACUGACCCCCGAAACCUGAAUGUGUGAUAAGACGUAAUGAAUUUCUCCCGCCUGACAUAAAGCACAGCACUGAGUCAGUGUUUACCUUGCGGAGGAAUGCCAGACACACUCGCGGCAAUAAGCUCUCGUAAAGUCAUCACGUUUCAUUUAAAAUCUUUACAAGGCCGUUCAACUGAGGACAAGGUGUCGUGCACGCGUGGGAGUGAUCGGAGUUUCCGUUUCAAUCUUCUUCAUCUCCCUGUUUGAUGUCGUCUCCAGAUGAAUUUGCGCACGAGGCGACCUUCGGGAGUCAGUGGUACGGACCGGUCUCCCCUCGAUGGAUAACUGGAUUAGAGGCUCAACAAUAAAAACACAAAGGCCUCCUUCGUUCGAUAAGAGGACGGCGCUCAGAAGCGGGAAAGAGAGGAGGAAAAAUGUGCCUGAUGGAAGCCGCUGUGGACUCCUAAAUAAAAGCCGUAAAACGCCAGCACUUGGCUCCAGCUAAGGAAAGCUUAUGCUAAGACACAGCGGUAAUGAUUUUAAUAUCUGCGAGGCCACGCGCUAUAAAUUUAAAAUGUGCUGUGAGAUACACUCGUCCACGAGUACACGACUCCCCCCUCUGCCUCCCGUCACCUCCCUUCUGGGGCUUUUUCUUCACUUUGUGAGAAGGAAACACGCAGAAUCAGCUCCUGUGUUUCUCUUAAUUCACGCAAAAGUAGAUGAUCUUUUAGUUGUUUAUUUAACGUUCUGCUAUUUUACCCUCCCAUCCCAAAAAAUGGAGCGGUUUAUAAAAAGAUCAUCCGUGUGAAGAUCUGGCAUAAAAAUGUGUUUUUGUGACUUUUUUUCCCUUCGUUCCCCUCUGACCUGCUACAGCCAGCGAAAAAGUUUAAUCUGUUUAAUUCUUGAACAAACAAGAUGAAAUAUUUGAAAUCAUGGGUCCACUUUGGAGGCCAUUCAGGCAUCUGGCAAGUCACACCAACGGCACUUCAAAUGCUCCAAAUGUUUUGUUCCAAGCCAUUUUCUAUUAGCCUACAAUCUGGCCAGAACAUUAAUAGAUGUGAAAUCCCGGCAUGAGAGCCGUGCCUCUGCUCUUCGUCUCGGCAUCUGUUCCCUGUUAGGGACGCAGUCAACUCCCUCGCUGUGUGCUCAAUGUCUUUGCCAAGAUUGUUCCUAUCCAACUGUCCAGAAGAUCUUAGAAGGUUGUUUUGGGCGGCUUCAGGUUUUAGGCAAAUGAAAAAUGCACACACGCUUUAUCAAAGCAGAGAUUGGGAACUUAUGAGCAAAAAUAUGUGUUCCUAUAACUCAACGUUUGCCCACUUUUGCUGUACGAUUCUCCCUUUUCUUUACCCUUUACGCCGAUUGUCGCCAUAAGCAAACGCACUUUACCACACACACACACACACACACACACACACACACCGCGGCCGUCCUCUGGCUAUCUCUGGUCAUGGUUUAUAGUGGCAACCAGGCACUUCAUUAGUGGACAGCUGCUGCUGCACCUCCUUCCGUACCUUGACUUCCUCCACCUCUCCAUCCUCUCCCCCUCUCAGCUGCCCUCAGCCUGAACUUGUCCUGGGGGGGAGGAGUGGAGGGAGGUAUGGGAGGAGAAGGAAUGAAGAGGGGGGGUGGGGGGGCGCUUGCAUGGUCUGAUUGCUUCUCUCGUGUCAAUUGAUGGAGAGUGUGUGUUUGCGUGUGAGUGUUUUAUACUAAACAGACCGCCUACUAAACCUGAACCCGGACACCAACCACAAUUCUAACUUCGCCCUUAAAUACAAGUGUGAACCCUCAAAACAGAUUUUAAAGGUCCCAAAAAGUGAAGAGCUCACGGUCCUCACUCCGCAGGUGAAACUGGUCUGGUUGGUCCUCACAAAGACAGAAAAAUAAACACACACACACAGGCCUACUCCUAUAGGGACCAGCACGUUGACCCCCAAAGGAACGGGGGUCAAUGGACAGUAAUACCAGUCAAUGGACACACACAUUCACACAAAGAAUGAAGAGGCCAGUAUGUGAGAGCAGCUUGUAAUAAAAUAGAGAAAUAAACAUGAACUUUCUGAUAUGAGAUGUUUUAUCAGAUGAGUAUCAUGUUUUUAGCAACAUCCAUCUGACAGAACACUUGUCUGUCCCAUCCCGCGUAUCUUUAUCCCCCCACUAGAAUAAGUCCAGGCUGAGCCUUUGCCCCCCCAAAUCCUUCCCUGAAGCGCCGGCGUCAAUCCCAGCUCCUCUUUCAUGUCUAAUCGGCUUUUACAAGCCCCGGCCCCCCGUAGGCCGGCGUUUACAACUUCUGCCCCUUAUUGGCUGGAUGAGUGAGCGUUGUUGAGGGGCGCAGGUGCAAAAAGUUACUCCCUAAAUAAGAGGCAAUGACGAACAGGUGUCUUCUGAGCGGCUUCUGAGGCGGGGGAACCGUCACGUGAGGGAACACACGGGGGAACCGGCUCGUUUUAACCGGUUCUGCCGAAUUUCCGUUCAACAAAAGGAGGCUGGGCGGACUUCUGCUUUUUAACAAACGCAGCCUGGGGGCAGAUUUAUAGUGUCUGGGUCACUCUGAUGUUACUGCUUCUCUACGUGAUGUACGAGCAAUUAAGAGGUAUCUAAGCAACCAGCUGAUCGCAUCUCAAAUACGCUCUUCACUUUAUUACGUGAAACUCCUUCAACUUCUGAUUGAUGUCAUGAGACAUCUAUAAAGACUGUGUAGUCUUCAACAGGUUAGCAUCAACAGGUUAGCAUCAGCAGGUUAGCAUCAGCAGGUUAGCAUCAACAGGUUAGCAUCAGCAGAUUAGCAUCAGCAUGUUAGCAUCAACAGGUUAGCAUCAGCGGGUUAGCAUCCACAGGUUUACAUCAACAGGUUAGCAUCAACAGGUUGGCAUCAGCAGGUUAGCAUCAACAGGUUAGCAUCAGCAGGUUAGCAUCAGCAGGUUAGCGAAUGUGUUGUUUUGACUCUUGAAUCAUAUUUAAACAUGUGGCUCAAUAACAAGAGUUGACUGUCUCUGUUCAAGACUUACAAAAUAAACACGGAGCAGCGAGUGAUUAAAAGUAUCUCACAAACAACAAGGACAAGUUCCCUGUUUAGUACGAAAUAAACGGCUCCUCUGUAAACAAGUCCGGAGAGAAUCCUCUCAAAGGAUUCAAAUGUCAGUGAGAAAAGCACGCCGGCCAAGUGCCAAACAAUGUGGAAACAACAGUCAUUGCUUUGGUACCACAUGCCAAACAAGCAAUCAUGUUACUCUGCUCUUGUACUUUGUUAAACCGCCUUUAAUGGACUUCUGCCGGCCUUUCUUAAGACUCUGGAGCGCGUACAAUUUUAUUUAAUCAAAUAUUCGCUUCAACCGGUCCAAACUUGCGCCGCAUCUGUCAAAUAUGUAAGUUGUGGGAAGUUGAUGGCAGCGAGCUGCCAAAAAGAUGCGAGGCGGGUUCGCUGCAGCCCUUCCUGCUGUAGAAUGAACAAAAACAAACAGUUUAUUGCAGACUUCAAACAAACAUGGCACGAAACCAAGACCUAAAUGCACUCAAGAUGUGGCACCCGAGAGCCCGCGGACCGAAUCGCCUGUUCGGCAGAACUGAGCUCGCGUCUCCUCGGAUCCAAGCGGCAGCUCGGUAAUUAAAACAUCCUAAUAGGAGAGAGCAGGAGUCCAGACGAGGUGUCACCGGCUCCGAUUCAGCGUCCUGUGUUUUGGCCGAGGAAGGAGAAACACUCGACUCGACAGCGUUUAGAGGCCGAUUUUAAUGUCAAGCGUCUCGAUGAGACGGCGUCCAGACACGGCGUCCAGACACGGGAGGAACGUGUUGGUGCUGUUGUGUAAUUUCAUGGUUUUUCACUGUUAUGCAAAGCAAAGCAAUAAAACCAAAGUAAAAUACGAAUAGAUUUUUAUAUCAGAAUUCAAAGAAAUGGAGUUCUUUGUAAAGGACUUUUAGACAUAUUGUUAAAUAGAGCAGGUGUGUCACCUGAAAGUCACAAUGAUUCCGGAGGAGGUCCAACCUGACCAUUACUUUAUUAGUUAGAGCGACACAGUCAUUUAUUAUGCAGCAGAUGUUAAAUUGUUUUCCAGCUUCGGUCUUUCAGUAACGUUCACUUGGAAUCAACCAAACAGUGAGUGAUUCAUUCGCUGACUAAGGGCCCGUGGCUGCGUGAAGCAUAAGCGGUUUUACAAGAUUGAUUAAUUCUAAUUCCUUCACUCGAUCCCACCGGAUUUUAACUCAGUUUAUUGGUACAAUGCUGAAUUAUGGGAAGGAGAGAGCUACAGAGGACUCUGUGUGUGUGUGUGUGACGCUUUACACAAAGCUCACGCCAGGAACGAGUACAAACAGCCGCGGCCACAACGGCUUCGCUGCCAAACACUGGCUUUCUCAUCAACCUCGACCAACCACACGCAAACACAAGUGCGCUAACACACAAACAGACACACGCGGGCGGGGAGGCAAAGUGGCAAAGCAACGCAAACAGGUCAAAAACGCCAGAAAAGACAAAUACGAACACACGCGCGUGUGUGUGUGUGUGUGUGUGUGUGUAAGAAGCCGACCUUGUGGCUCACAUCCCCUUAAAUCACAACAACGUGAGAUUGAGCAGAAGCCGAACAAAUCACUGUCAUCCAAACCAAACAGCGACCCACAUCUCUGCCUCCGACCUUCUGGAGAGAAGAAAAACCCACAUUCAAGUAAAUACACAUCGUCAUGUCAAAACCUUCCCAUCCACUCGCUCAGUUUUUGCACAUGUUGAUUUAGAGGAAAAUGAUCCACGGCCGCCACAAGGGCUCACAGAGGGGAGCGGGUCACGGGGAGAUGAGGGUCCUGGGCGAGAGGUGGAGGGAUUUCCCCCGCCAUGUGACGGAGGACGGGGAGGAGGAGGAGGAGGAGGAGGAGGGAGUUGUUUUCGGAGCUGCUUUCCAUCCAGCAAGUUCCUGGAACGGGAGAGAGGAGCGAGGGGAGCUGGAGGCGGGCCGUCCUCCCCUGCACAUAAAUCCAACCGCGUCCCGGCGUCCCGGGCUCGGAGAGAGUCACGGAGGCCCGUAGGCCAGGGCGAUGUCUGCUCCGCCCCUCUGGACCCGGCGGCCCGGGGAUACGGAGGUGUUUCAGGGGCGGAGGCGGAGGUGACGGUAGUCCGGAGAGGGUCCACGUCCUGAACUUUUACAGCCUCAGGCUUUAGGGGGACGUUCUGUCAGCACUAACAAAAUAUAAUUAAAGAAUCAUAAUUAAAUGUGCCCAGAAUUAAAGUAAUUCAUAUACUUUUGCUCAUGAAAUCUUUUGAGCUGAUCUUAUGUUUUUAUUUGAAGAGCAGCUACAGCUCUAAAAUAAAUGUAGCAAUUAAGUAAUCAAGUAACUAAGCACAAUAUCACCCUGAUAGCAGCACGCAACCACCUACCUACAUUAAGUAUACUUAGCUUAGCUUAGCUUAUAUUCCACCACUCAGCGCUCUAGUAAUCCUGCAUCCCAGUAACUUGUUGGCACCAGUUCUACCAGAAACAGGGCAGGAAAUACAAAAUGGAGCCAAGCUGUGAUAACAUUUUUGCAACUGCCAAGACACUUAAAGUGGUACUUUUGGUCGUACGAAUGUACUGUAUCGUACAGCAAACUAGUGCACAUAAAAGUGUAACAAUAAAUAACAGGAGAUAUAAGUCCCUGAUGCAUGCGGCUGUUCUGCACGUGUGUUUUCACUUCACACUUGUGUUUUACAUUGAGCAAUAACUGGAAUUUAGAAACAUCUGUUCACACGGCCGAACACCAAAUAUCACAACGAGAACGAGAUUUUUUGUUCCACAGUUUCAUUUUUAUUUGAUUGAAUUUCUUUGUGCAUUUGAUACCUUAAUGAAUAAUGAAGCAGUAGUUUAUGGUUUCAAUCUCUACUUUUAGGACAUUAUGUACAUUAUGGUCAAUGUUCCGUCAAACAGACCAUGAGGCAGAGUGCUCUUUAGGGCGGGGCUUACUGUGAUUGACAGGUUGCAAUUCGCAAAAGGUUUGCAGGGAUGACGUGACAUGAAAAACUAUCCAGCAAUCAUCUUCCCUCCUCCCCCCGUCUUCUCCGGGUCGUCUGCCCGUCCCCCCCCCCCGUCCCCCCCGUCUCGCUUUGAGCGGUCGCAGGCCGCGCUCAGAGGAAGUGAUGCAGUCCAUCUGGGGUGGUCGUUAUCGGCGGAG